UCUAAUUCUGGAUCAGAAUCACUAUGUGGUUAAAACAUUAAGCCUGUUGUUUUAUACUUUUGUCUGUCUUCACACACCAAAUGGUUUAUGGACAAACCAGAAAGAAAAUACAAAGGCCAAAUGCUCUGAUACAGAAAGAUGACUGUCCAGAAAGAGGUGAUCUAGUGGGACAGAGGAGGAAGAUGCAAGGCUAGAACUGCUCCAGAUGACUUACUGCACAGGGUGAGGAAGGAGAAUGUGGAGAAAAAGAUCAAGAGGUAUACAUGUUUCCUUCUUAAGAGUAAGAUGUGUUUUUUUUAUUUUUGCAGAG